rnacentral:rRNA from 1 species
UACGUAGGUGACGAGCGUUAUCCGGAAUUACUGGGCGUAAAGCGCACGCAAGCGGUCUGACAAGUCUGGCGUGAAAUCCUCUGGCUUAACCAGGGGCGGUCGCUGGAGACUGUUAGGCUUGAGGCGAUGAGAGGGGUGCAGAAUUCCCGGUGUAGUGGUGGAAUGCGUAGAGAUCGGGAGGAAUACCAGUGGCGAAAGCGGCACCCUGGCGUCGUACUGACGCACAUGUGCGAAAGCGUGGGGAGCGAACGGG